CGAAAAUCACCGAUUUAUCCUUCGGGCGAUAAAUCUUGUUUUAAUCGGCAUAGUCGUGGCGCGUUCGUGUGCUAGCGGCAGAACGACGUGGUACCGAAAAACGGUGCCGAAAAAAUCGCAUCACGAAUCCCUUUGCGAUCAACCGCAUCCUCCGACUCCAUUUCUUGAAAUGCCAGCCUCGCAGAGGCUGAAAAUAGCGGGCAACCGAUUAAAAAAAAAACGGGGUAAAUAGGUCUGGAUAUCGCCAGACUACGGUCCGUAGUGCGUGGAACACAUGAAGGAACGGGAAAACAACCUCCUCAUCGGAAACACACACCGACACACACAGUUAAUCUCCAAUAUCUGCCCGUCGCAGUCAGGUCCUGGAUAACGUGUUCAGCACCAGCAGCCUACCCGACGUCUUCGGUCCUUUUUAGUUCCUGCACGCACUGGCGAAUUGCGUCUUCGUUUCACAGGGAAAACGUGGAUGGACGAUGGCGAAAUUUAUUAAAGCUGAGGUAUACUCGCCGUGUGAUGAUCCAAGGCGGUCUGUUGUGGAGGGCUGGAGGAUCUGGUUGUGUUAUGCUGCUGGUCGACGGCUGUGAGCGCUGUGAACUCCCCGCCGCACACCGUGGGAUCCGCGCUGUAAACAAGCAGCAGUCGCACCGCUCCACUUUAUAAUGUCUCGCUGCGGCUUGUAGGACAUGGACAUCCAACGUCCAAGUGUUGUCACGUGAUUCCACUUGCCACCCCCACUGACGUCACUGGCUAAUCGCGCGGGAGAGCUUCAUUCUCUUCUCGACUACUCGACUACUUCACCAAGAUGACAACGACGUCAUUGCAGACGGUUUGCUCAUUUCACGGAGGAGGGCAGAGAGAUGGCACUCUACCGCCUAUCUUCGGUAUCCCGGGGAAGCGCUAAGUGUCCGAAACGGAGGAGACAUAAUAUUUGUCUUUUCUUUAUUUCUUUACUUUUUAUUGGUUUGUUUGAAGGGAAGAGCAGAAAAUAAAAUUGAUAAUAAUGAAUACCAAUUCCAAGAAACAUGUUAUUUUAAUAGAAAUGAAAUCAUAUAUUGCUGGUUAUUAAGCACACAAUAUACACCGUAAGAAAAUAAAAUGCAGACUUCACAUUUAAGAAAGGC
ensembl:lncRNA